rnacentral:misc_RNA from 1 species
AUAGUUGUGUUUACUGGCAAACGAAAAAAAAACCGACUUCCAUUAGAUCGACAAGUAAUACAACGUAGGUAGAUGAAAAAUUAGUCAAGUAAAUACGCAUUAUCAAAGGUUACUCCAAAAGUUUUAAUCAGAUCUCGAUGAAAUUUAAAUGUGACCACAUGAUAAACAUCGGUUUUCGAUUAAAUUAAAAAUCAUCAAAAUCGGUACACCCAGUAAAAAUUUAU